UGAUGUCUUCGGACCAAAGAUUUAUCGGCAAAGGAUGAGCCCGCGUAGGAUUAGGUAGUUGGUGGGGUGAAGGCCUACCAAGCCGACGAUCCUUAGCUGGUCUGAGAGGAUGAUCAGCCACACUGGGACUGAGACACGGCCCAGACUCCUACGGGAGGCAGCGGUGGGGAAUAUUGGACAAUGGGCGCAAGCCUGAUCCAGCAAUGCCGCGUGAGUGAUGAAGGCCUUCGGGUCGUAAAGCUCUUUACCAGGGAUGAUAAUGACAGUACCUGGAGAAUAAGCUCCGGCUAACUCCGUG
rnacentral:rRNA from 1 species